rnacentral:lncRNA from 10 species
UCAUGAAAGCUGCUUAAUUGAAGGUCAUCCUCAGCAUGAUUUGAGCUGUCCUGCUACAGGUCUGACCAACGGCCAGACUCUUCCCCUUGUAUCCCUCUGCCCCCAAGGAUCUCAUUUGCCUAUUUUAGAUUUUUCACAUCAUCUAAUUGUGAUGGUUAAUAGUAAGUGUCAACUUGAUUGGACUGAAGGAUGCAAAGUAUUGUUUCUGGGUGUAUUUGGGUGUCUCUGGGUGUUGCCAGAAGAGAUUAACAUUAGAGUUGGUGGACUGGGGGAGGAAGACCUACCCUCCCAAAGACCCACCCACAGUGUGGGUGGGCACCAUCCAAUUGGCUGCCAGCGCGGCUAGAAAAAGGGGGCAGAAGAAGGUGGAAGAAGCUUCCGGCCUUCAUCUUUCUCCUGUGCUGGAUGCUUCUUGUCCUCAAACAUCAGACUCCAAUUUCUUCGGCUUUUGGACUCUUUAGACUUACACCAGUGGUUUGCCAGGGGCUCUUGGGCCUUUGGCCAUAGACUGAAGGCUGCAAUUGUCGGCUUCCCCACUUCUAAGGUUUGGGGAUUCGGGCUGAGUCACUGCUGGCUUUGUUGCUCCUUAACUUGCAGACGGCCUAUUGUGGGACUUCACCUUGUGAUCGUGAGUCAGUUCUGCUUAAUAAACUCCCUUUCAUGUAUACAUAUAUCCUAUUAGUUCUAUCCCUCUAGAGAACCCUGACUGAUACACUAAUAAUAACUUAGAUACCAUUGUAAGAGAUUUUCUUACAAUGACCAUCUUUUCCAAGUAUCUUGAAAUAUACUCCUUUGCCUCCAAAUUUAUUUAUAUCUCUUGUAAUAAGAUUUCCAGAAAAACAGGGUGAAAUUAGAAAUUGCUCCAUCCCUUAAACUCAGUUCAAUGCAAUUUAAUAUAUACCAGCACUUACUAUGUAAAAGACAUUUACUAAGCAUUAAGGAUAGAGAGCUGAAUUAAGUAAUAGUCUCAGCAGCAAAAUGCAGAAACUGUUUUACAGAGGUCACAUUUCAGCCUCCAUCCAGUGACUGUUAGGAUAUUUCAAGUUACCAAAGAGGAAAAAAAGUUGUUUUUGAAUUUGGUGGUGUAAGUAGUCACCCAUGAGGCUGAGGGUCCAGGGCGUACUCCUCUCAUCACCACUGACCUCACGCUCAUUCCACAUAGACAUUUUACAGUCAAGGAAAAGUUACCUGGAACCUGAUACAAAGACAAGAUGUUCUCAGAGAAGAACGAACAAAUGCCAUGCUUACUGAUCAGGGUAACAGUUGAAAACACGGGGCAUGAGUUCUGUAUUUCAUAAAGCUGCAGGAUCCAAACACUUCUCACUAGCAGCCAACCAAAGACACUGGGGAUGAGUAAUGAGUAUACACUACUCAUUCUAAGGUUGGGAAUUUCUCGUGAUUGACUGACACUCCAUCAUGUCUCUCUAGAAGUAUUUCUAUUGGACCAGGCAUGGUAGACAUGAUAGACAAAUACUAUGGGUAGUGGUGGUAGUUGUUUUUGAGACAGGCUUUUGCUCUGUUGCCCAGACUGGAGUGCAGUGGCAUGAUCAUGGCUCACUGCAGCCUCAGCCUGCCAGGCCCAUGUGAUCCUCCUGCCUCAGCCUCUUGAGUAGCUGGGACUACAGGCACAUGCCACCACACCCAUCAAAUUGUUGUAUUUUUUUGUAGAGAAGAGAUCUUACUAGGUUGCUAAGGCUGGUCUUGGACUCCUGAGCUGAAGCCAUCCUCCCGCUUCAGCCUCCCAAAGUGCUAGGAUUACAGACAUGAGCCACAGCACCCAGCGGCUUUGUUUUUUUUGAAUCUUAAUGAUAAUAUUGGGAGUUUAUGAUCACUUAACUGUUCUACACAAGUUGCAUGUAUUAUCUCACUUAAUCUUCACAACAACAUUGAGGAGGCAUCCCAGGACCUAAUGGAAAUUCACAGCCAGAGGAGGGUUACUGGUCUACGUUUUACGUAAUGUUCAUCUUACCACAGGGACUCACUGUGGGCAGAAUACAGCAUGCCAUUUCACCCAGAGUCCUCUAAGAAUAGCAUCGAUGUUGAAGUGACAAAAUGGAGUUUCCACUCGGGGUGGCAAAUGGAGAGGAGCUUCUAGCAACAUGUUCUGGGGCACUCUGUGCUCACCAGGUUGCAAGUUGUUCUGAGGAUUACAGGCAGAGGUUUUCGUGAUGGUGGCAACCCACUGGAAAAAAUUCCUAGGCCAGGGAUGGAACAUACAAUCAAAAACUGUCUAGGAAACACCAAUUCAGAAUGAUUUAAUGUAUGAGAGCCUGUGGACAAAUGUAUCUUUGUUUUUAUUUAGCCUGUUCAGGUGGAUAUUUCUAGAAAAAAAAAAUAAUGGUAUCAGCAUCCAAGCGUCCCUCUCUUGCAAGACAGAGAACUGUGUGCCAAUGUGACGUGACAUUCCCAUCCCAGGGGACUGAGGGCCAAAAGAAAACCUCUAGGAACGAUGGCUCAGCUUUGAGAUCAAGAAAUGGAAAGAAUAUUGCCUUUUCGCUAUGGAGUGAUUCGCAUAACACAGAGCACUAGAUCUGUUUCACCCAAUACUGAUGCAUUAGCCAGGGUCAAGUCAGAAAAUAGAAACACUCUAGGAAUUUCAAACAGAAGAACUUAAUACAGGGAAUUGAUCAUACAGUUUUCAAAAUGACUGAAUGAGUAAAAGGGUGGUGAGGCAACCCAAAGACUAGUAACUAACUAGAUAAUGCAACGGUCAUGACUAGAGGUGGAAGGUAGAGGUGGUUGUAUUACCAGAGCCCAGAAGUGCAGAAGAGUGCUGAACUGCCGUGCUGGGACUAUGAGGAGAACCUGACUAAAGCUGAGACUGCUGGGUACUACUGAGACCAAGAAAAAGGCUCCAGGCAGUAUGUGCUGGAACUGACACACACACAUACACAUAAACACACACACACACACACACACACACACACACACACACACACACACACGCUGCCUUCUAUAGCUGCCUGCUGUUGCUGGACAAAUGUCAAUGGAAGCUGUAAAUGAAAAUUAAAAAAAAAUUUAAAAAAAAGUAACUCCUACCUAUAUUCUGUCUUCCAGUCUCUCCCCAGGAUCACCAAUUGGUAGGACCUAACUAGAAGCCAGGUGAAAUUUGGGAGAAGUCACUUGCAAGGUCCUGGCACCCUGACCAUACGUAAUCAUAGAACACAGACGGGUGAGAAUGGCGGCUGAAAGCUUUGAGAGCUAACUAGCAAAUGACUGACAGUUGCAAUUCAUUAAGGCCUCUUCUGACACCACUCCAGCAGGGUAAGGGGUCAAGCUAUCUCUUUACUGCCAGAUGAUGGUAGAAGUCCAGCUUCUCUACUUUACCUCCACUGACAUCCAGAGAAUUUCUUGUUACUGCUGGGAGUGAAUAAGAGUUUAGACUUCCCAGUAGGCUUCCACUGAUAUCACCUGCCUGGGAGAGGAUGGGACACAAUCACAGUGAGAAGUGAGGAACGGGGAGUCCAAGCUCCCCACAUGGUCUUCACUAAUGGAAAUGGUGGAUUGGGAUGGAUUGGGAUACCUCAUUAGAGCCUGGCCAAGAUGGAAGAAUAAGCUUUCUACUCGGCCUUUGCUGGUGGGGCAUGGGAUAAGAUCAGAGUUUUUCUGUGAUGUUUGGCUAGAGUAGUGCAGGUACUAUCUGUCAUAGGUUGAACUGUGUCAUCCCCAGACUCACAUAUUUAAGUCCUAACCCCCAGAAACUCAGGACGUGACUUUAUAUGGAGAUAGAGUCUUUACAGAAGUCAUCAGUUAAAAUGAGGUCAUGAGGGUUGGCCCUAGUCCAACAUAACUGGCAUCCCUAUAAACAGAGGAAAUCUGGACACAGACAUGCAUGGAGGAAAGAUGGUGUGAAGAGACGUAGUAGAAGAUGGCCAUCUAUAAGCCACAGAGACAUCUGGAAAGAUCCCUUCCUCACAACCCUGAGAAGUAACAAACCUGCCAACACCAUGAUGGUAUAAGACAUCCAGCCUCCGGAACUGACAAUAAACUUGCAUAGUCUAAGUUAAUCAGUCCACAGGACUUUGUUACAGCAGCACUAGCAAACUAAUAUCCUGACUCAAAGUUUUCCAUCCUGCUAGGCUAUUCCUUCCCUGGUCCUCUGGCUGGAGAGCAAAGGCUUUACCUGGGUCCUUUUUUGUGUGUGCUCAUUGAAAUUUCCAGGUUGCCAGCUUCUCUGAUACCCAGUCCGGGAUACAUGGAAAGCAGCAAACACCCAGGAGACUGAUCACUGUGUCCUUUCUUGGAUACCAAGGUCACUACCUAGUCUACCUUCUUCUUUCCACCUUUAUAACAGAAAGAAUUAGCUGAACUUAGUGGGAUGAAUAGAUAAAAAUGACUAUUUCAUCUUUCCAGAAGUGGAAGUUCACAAUGUGUCUUUUUAUUUGUUUGUUUGUUUUUGAGACAGAGUCUCACUCUGUUGCCCAGGCUGGAGUGUAGUGACAUGAUCUCGGCUCACUGCAACCUCCACCUCCCAAGUUCAAG